UACGUAGGGUCCAAGCGUUGUCCGGAAUUAUUGGGCGUAAAGAGCUCGUAGGCGGUGUGUCGCGUCGGAUGUGAAAGCCCGAGGCUUAACUUCGGGUCUGCAUUCGGUACGGGCAUGCUGGAGUUCGGUAGGGGAGACUGGAAUUCCUGGUGUAGCGGUGAAAUGCGCAGAUAUCAGGAGGAACACCGGUGGCGAAGGCGGUUCUCUGGGCCUUACCUGACGCUGAGGAGCGAAAGCAUGAGGAGCAAACAGG
rnacentral:rRNA from 1 species